rnacentral:tRNA from 3 species
GGGCGAAUGGCGGAAUUGGUAUACGCGUAGCGUUCAGGACGCUAUUCUCGAAAGGGAGUCAGGGUUCAAGUCCCUGUUCGCCCA